UACGUAGGGGUAGCGUUGUCCGGAAUUCAUUGGGCGUAAAGGGCUCGUAGGCGGUUUGUCGCGUCGGGAGUGAAAACGCCGUGCUUAACACGGCGCUUGCUUUCGAUACGGGCAGACUAGAGGUAUGCAGGGGGAGAACGGAAUUCCUGGUGUAGCGGUGAAAUGCGCAGAUAUCAGGAGGAACACCGGUGGCGAAGGCGGUUCUCUGGGCAUUACCUGACGCUGAGGAGCGAAAGUGUGGGGAGCGAACAGG
rnacentral:rRNA from 1 species